rnacentral:rRNA from 1 species
AAAUGGAAACCGGCGAACGGGUGAGUAACGCGUACACGACUUACCUCCGAAGUACGGAAUAGCCCUGGGAAACUGGGAGUAAUACCGUAUGUGAUUGAUUGUGUUAGAGGUAAUCAAUUAAAGAUAUACUUGCUUGGAGAUGGGUGUGCGUCCUAUUAGGUAGUUGGUGAGGUAACGGCUCACCAAGCCGACGAUAGGUAGGGGGCGUGAGAGCGUGACCCCCCACACGGGUACUGAGACACGGACCCG